rnacentral:rRNA from 1 species
AUUGAACGCUGGCGGCAGGCUUAACACAUGCAAGUCGAGCGGUAGAGGGGAGCUUGCUUCCCUUGAGAGCGGCGGACGGGUGAGUAAUGCCUAGGAAUCUGCCUGGUAGUGGGGGACAACGUUCGGAAACGGACGCUAAUACCGCAUACGUCCUACGGGAGAAAGUGGGGGAUCUUCGGACCUCACGCUAUCAGAUGAGCCUAGGUCGGAUUAGCUGGUUGGUAGGGUAAAGGCCUACCAAGGCGACGAUCCGUAACUGGUCUGAGAGGAUGAUCAGUCACACUGGAACUGAGACACGGUCCAGACUCCUACGGGAGGCAGCAGUGGGGAAUAUUGGACAAUGGGCGCAAGCCUGAUCCAGCCAUGCCGCGUGUGUGAAGAAGGUCUUCGGAUUGUAAAGCACUUUAAGUUGGGAGGAAGUUCAGUAAGUUAAUACCUUGUUGAAUUGACGUUACCGACAGAAUAAGCACCGGCUAACUCUGUGCCAGCAGCCGCCGUAACAC